CAAGAGGAUAGAGAAGUUAGACGACCCAGUUGGUCCUGUGAAGGAGAUUCUCAAACUUUGUCCAGAAAGAAUGUUGGUUACCAUAUACAAGGUUCCUACCUUUGAUUCAGUGGAUGACUUCCUUCAGAAAGUUGCUACAGUUAGGGGUAGGCUUAAAAAGGGAGGAAUUGUUGAUGUUGAUGCUGCAGCAAGGAUCGUUCUGCACGACUGGAAUGAGGGGAAAAUUCCAUACUACACCUUGCCCCCAACCAGGAAUG